GUCGGUGACAGCGUCAAAGACGAACUUGACGUUCUGUGUAUCGGUGGCGCACGUCAUGUGCGAGUAGAUCUCCUUCACAUCGCGGCGCAUGUUGAGCUCCAGGAACUGCACUUUGAUGUAGUUGCCGGCAUCCUCACGUCCUUCUUGUUGAGGAAGAGCACAAUGGACGUAGUGGCGAAGUAGCGAUGGUUGCAGAUGCUGUUGAACAGGUGCAGGCUCUCGUGCAUUCGGUUCUGGGGAGGCCAGAGGCUGUCGGGCACCAGGCUACGCGGGCAGCUGCCCCGUGGGUCUCUCACGCGCCUCCCCACACCAACCGCGCCCAGCCAGCCCCUGAGUGCGUCUCGGUGGCUGACUCCCCCCGGGUCCACCUGCCUUCUCCAGCACUCAGGCCAAACUUGGCACUCACCACUUCGUCGUCCUCCACCAGCACCAUGUCGUAAGCGCUCAGCGCGGCGAUGAAAAUGAUGCAGGUCACACCCUCGAAGCAGUGGAUCCACUUUUUGCGCUCGGAACGCUGCCCGCCCACAUCGAACAUUCUGGAGGGUAGAGCCGCGUCCAGAUUUAGACCCGUGUAUCUGGUCACUCGGAUAUGCCCACUGGCACUCCCCUUGUCCUCCCCAGCUGGCUCGAGCUGGCUCGAGAGCCCUCAUAUGGCUUGGCACCUGAAGUGACCAGCCUUUCUCCUAGCAAGGGUAAGGCCUUCACUCAAGACGGUGACUGAACGAGAGUGCAGGGGCCUUACCUGAAGUUGAGGUCCUUGAAGGAGAACUGCGUCUCGAUGAUGCCAGUGGUUUUGACACGAGAUCGCAACACGUCCUGCUCAGUGGGCACAUAUCCUGGAGUCACCAGGCGCUCCAGGUCCGAAAGGUAGCUGAAGAAGGCCACCGGGCGUGAGCGGUGUGGGACACACCAGCGGGGCCCGCCUACCCACCUCCUCCGCUCCCUGCCUCCGCGUGUGUACUCACUAGCCAGCAGAGUCGUUGAGCUGGUACUCGGAGGCGCGUUCGAAGCAAGCUUGGAUACCCGAGUCCUUCCACAGGCGCUGAAUGAUGUCCGACAUCUCCUUGGGCAUUGUGCCUUCCUCGAUAGUAUCCGCCAUGUGCAUCAGCUUCCGGGCAUCAUCCUGGUGGUGGGGCAAGAUAGUGGCUGUGGCCCUGAGCCUAGCCAGGUGCCCUGAGCCCUCAGGGACCAAUGUCAGCCAGCCCCCUGCCUCACCUGCCGGGCUGAAUCUCCAUACUGAAUGUUGAGCGUGGUCAUAGCCCGAACAAUGGCCAGGAUGGACUGCAGAGUGUUGCCGUAGAUGAUGGCGAUGAACUCGAGACAUUCUUCCAGUGAAUACCCGUCCUGGUGGAUAAUCCUACAGCCAAGACCAGCAGUCAGAGCCUCUUGGGCCAGUAGGGAAGGGUAGGUUCCACUGCGCAUGCCCCCACCGCUAGGGGCCUUAGGAUGGGCAGGGAACACUCACUUCAUCUGCUUGACAAUCGUGCUCUUUCCAGAUUCACCGGCACCUGAAAGGGAAGCUGUGCUUCAGGGCUGCGCUGACCAGCCCUGACCACUUCCUCUGGAUGGAGCAGAGGCGGGGGGUGCCAACGAGACCUCUAGGUACACUUGCCCUCAUCUCCAUCCAAAGUAAAGUCUUGAAGACCCCUGGAGGGGGUGAAAUGCUUGCCCGGAGGGAAGGACAGGGUUCCCCCAAACUCAAGUAUCCUGAGCCUUUUUUCAUGCCUUGAGGCCAAAAUAAGGAAACCCUCUAGUGCCACCUUGUGGUAUACCAAGUACUGCAAUGCACAGGAUUGGAGACUGGAGAGAGGUCUCUGAGAGGCUCAGAGGGAAUUAGCACCCUCAGAUGGGGGGAGAGGACAGAGCUAACAUCCUUUCUGAGCCUGUCCUCCUCAAGGGUGCUGGAUACAAUUAAUGGGAUUUCCGGCUUAGCUCUGGCCUUUCUCCUGGGGCCGUGGCUUAGAACCUGUGGCUGUCCUAAACCAGCAGCUUUCCCUUGGGGGUUUAAGCAAUGGCAGUACCCCCAUCUCUCCUCACUACCCACGAGAUCAUGGGUUUGGCUUUACUUAUUCCCUGUGGGCUUCAAUAGCUUUCUACUUUCUUUUUGGUUUGUCCUGGAACUCGCUCUGCACACCAGGCUAGCUUCAGACUCAAGAAAUCCACCUGCCUCUGCCUUCCAGUGCUGGGAUUAAAGGGGUGCAUUCCUGCUGA